rnacentral:misc_RNA from 1 species
UCCGGUUUGACACCGGCAGUCUCACUAGAGUCCCCGCCAUGACGCGCUGGCAACUAGUGAUAAGGGUUGCGCUCGUUAAGGGACUUAACCCGACACUUCACAGCACGAGCUGACGACAGCCAUGCAGCACCUGUGUACGUUCCACCCAAGGGCGUCAUUCAUGUUUCCAUGAACUAAUCCGUACAUGUCAAGCCCAGGUAAGGUUCUUCGCGUUGCUUCGAAUUAAGCAACAUGCUCCACCGCUUGUGUGAGCCCCCGUCAAUUCCUUUGAGUUUUAGCCUUGCGACCGUACUCCCCAGGCGGUGCACUUAAUGAUUUCUCGGCGUCUGGCAGAGAGUCAGAUCUCCACCAAACUAGUGCACAUCGUUUACGGCGUGGACUAC